AACAUGGGACAAUGGGGCAACCCUGAUCCAGCCAUGCCGCGUGUGUGAAGAAGGACUUCGGAUCGUAAAGCACUUUAAGUUGGGACGAAAGGUUCUAGGUUAAUACGCCGCAGUAAUGACGUUAACAACAGAAUAAGCAACCGCUAACCCUGUGCCAGUAGCCGCGGUAAUACAGAGGGUGCAAGCGUUAAUCGGAAUUACUGGGCGUAAAGCACGCGUAGGUGGUUCAGUAAGAUGGGUGUGAAAUCCCCGGGCUUAACCUGGGAACUGCUUUCAUAACUGCUGAGCUAGAGUACGGUAGAGGGUAGUGGAAUUUCCUGUGUAGCGGUGAGAUGCGUAGAUAUAGGAAGGAACACCAGUGGCGAAGGCGACUACCUGGACUGAUACUGACACUGAGGUGCGAAAGCGUGGGGAGCAAAC
rnacentral:rRNA from 1 species